rnacentral:rRNA from 1 species
ACAGAGGGUGCAAACGUUGUUCGGAAUCACUGGGCGUAAAGCGCGUGUAGGCUGCUGCGCAAGUCGGAUGUGAAAUCCCACGGCUCAACCAUGGAAGUGCAUUCGAAACUGCGUAGCUAGAGUUUUGGAGAGGAAGGCGGAAUACUCGGUGUAGAGGUGAAAUUCGUAGAUAUCGAGUGGAACACCGGUGGCGAAGGCGGCCUUCUGGACAAUGACUGACGCUGAAACGCGAAAGCGUGGGGAGCAAACAGGA